AGCAGUCGCCGCGGUAAUACGUAGGGGGCAAGCGUUAUCCGGAAUAACUGGGCGUAAAGGGUGCGCAGGUGGUUUAACAAGUUAGUGGUGAAAGGCAUAGGCUCAACCAAUGUAAGCCAUUAAAACUGUUUAACUCGAGUGCAGGAGAGGAAAGUGGAAUUCCUAGUGUAGCGGUGAAAUGCGUAGAUAUUAGGAGGAAUACCAGUGGCGAAGGCGACUUUCUGGACUGCAACUGACACUGAGGCGCGAAAGCGUGGGGAGCAAACAGGAUUAGAUACCCCAGUAGUCCCUGUCUCUUAUACC
rnacentral:rRNA from 1 species